rnacentral:lncRNA from 1 species
CAAAAUUCCGUUAAAAGCUUAAUCGAGUGAUUCUUAACUCAGACUUUUAAGAUCGGCGAAAACUAUUACGGGUGAGUAAACCUUUUAAUAUUUACCUUUUAAUAUUUACAUUUUAAAUCUUGAGAUUACACUGUAAAACUUUGCAGUCUAAUCUAGUUGAAGGCCAAGUUUCUGUACAUUGCACAUGGGCAUCUCGUUAUGUACUCAUGACCCCCAUCAAACAGGAAUGCGAGUUGAAUAAGUUGAUGAGAGUUGGCAGUCACACAUUGUUAGGGAGGACAUUUCAAGUUCUAGAUUAACAAAAUAAUGGUUUGAUGAGUGUUCCAACUAUACGUUUAACUUAAAUAACAUACACAUAAUAAUGUUGGGAAAGAAAGGUCGCGUGGUUUCCAACUCUCAUGCAUUCUCGUCAUCGUUUGAUCAGCGCUUUACUCUUAGCAGACGUUCAAUGUUCGUUAGUUGACUUAAUGUUGUAUAGUGUUAUUAUUAUCCGUUCCAUUAAAUCCACCCUCACAGAGUUAUUUCUGACAUUCCCUUUCAGGAUAGCGGCGAAGAAACACAAAAGCAAAGUGGUCUUGAAGAGUCAACUGAAAUUUUGCAAAUUUCAAAUUUUUUUGAGCAACUGAGAUUUUGCAGGGAUACUAAAAUGCGCGUUGGAUAUUUGCGCAAAACGAAGUGGUUUAUAUUGUGUGUAGUUGCCGUUCUUGUUUCGCAAGG